rnacentral:lncRNA from 10 species
GGGCGGAUCCCGGAGAGGGGGAGCCGCGGGGACGCAGCGACAGACUCGGGGUGCUGGCAGCGGCAGCCCACGCCUCCCAGGGAUUGCAGGCCUGGGCGCCGGGGUUGGACCAGUCUCCCGGGCAUGGCACGCCCUGGUUAUUCUGUACCCGUGAUUUGUGGCGGGGCAAGACGUUAAGUUGGGUGACACCGAGUGACACCAGUGAUGCUGUUAAACAAGGACAAUCCGGUUCAUGGAUUGUGACAACGCACGCUGACAUCAAGCAGACCCUGCCGUCAGGUACAGAGGGCACCACAGUGACCAGGAACUGCUGUCCUUUCAUACCAGGUUUUAGGAGGCUUUACCAGAAGGAAUGGAAAAUGCUGGUGGGCAGUAAGAUUGAAACAGCAUCUGAGGACUGGUUCUGCACAAAACCUUAAAUUCUUCAAGGACUUUGACAUUUGUUUAUUCUUGUAACAAAUUAAAACCUAUCCUGUGUGUUGGUUAGAGAUCUUCAAACUGUAAAUACCUUGAGGCAGGAGUGAGGUUUUUAUCUUUUAAAGGACAGGCCCCUACUCUCCUACGUAAUGAGUUUCUAAAAAUGGAUGUGAGCACCAAUCAAUAUUUCUCUGGUUGUUAAAGUCAAGAAUAAAAUGGUAUUUUUAAGCUCGCAA